CUACGGAGGGGGUUAGCGUUGUUCGGAAUUACUGGGCGGAAAGCGCACGUAGGCGGACUGGAAAGUUGGGGGUGAAAUCCCGGGGCUCAACCCCGGAACUGCCUCCAAAACUUCCAAUCUAGAGAUCGAGAGAGGUGAGUGGAAUUCCAAGUGUAGAGGUGAAAUUCGUAGAUAUUUGGAGGAACACCAGUGGCGAAGGCGGCUCACUGGCUCGAUACUGACGCUGAGGUGCGAAAGCGUGGGGAGCAAUCAGGAUUAGAUACCCUAGUAGUCC
rnacentral:rRNA from 1 species